rnacentral:lncRNA from 1 species
CUCUCUGCGGAAGCCAGCCACCGCUCUCCAAGGACUCUCGAGCAGCUCCAUCUACAGAUUCACAUGGAGAAGAAUUAAGGGUUCCUGCCAAUCACCAGCACCACUUUGCCAGCCUUGUAAGUGGGCCACCUUGGAAUUGGAGCCUCCAGUUCCUACUGACAUCUGACUGCAACAUCAUGAGAGACCCUGAGUUUGAACCACCCAGCUGAGCUGCUUCUGAGCUAACCCACUGAAACCUACCUGAAUGAAACAACACCCAGUAGCCACUAGCACACCUAGCUCCCAGAUCUGUUUUUGAUGCCAUUCUUCAGUAAAAGGAAGCAAGGCUGCUUGGAGAAAUUGCUAUCAAGGACUGGGGUAGAAAAUAUACAAGAUGAAAUUGGAGCAUCUUGUAGUGCUUGAAAACAGUUGGCAUCUGUGUGAAGAUGUGAAUGGAGGAGGCAGAGUAGGCAGUGAGUGCCGCAGCCACAGCUUGUGUUCUCUGCAGCCCUGGCACAGAAGAUAGGAACACUCAUGGGGGAUGCGGCCACUGUGAUGUCUUCCCACACAAGAAGUGCCAAGUGCUUUUCUCAUGCUUUUCUGGAUUGUCCCAUGGUGGACGAGUCAGCAGGAGUGAGAUGGAGCAGCACAGUAGAGGGGUACCUGGCAAGGCCCGGAGGGAGGACCCCCUGCCCCAAACAUUUCAAUGAUAUCAGGUUCCUUAGAUCCUGGGAUGAGGAGGUGGACCAGCAGAAGGUGGGCUUGUGAAGGCAGCCCGGGGUCCAAAUCCUCCUGGCUCUUCAGCUUAGCGGGAUGUCACCUUCAGCGUCUGAAAGCUGGGUUUGAUGCGUCUGGAAAGGCGUCCCUGACAGGCGUCGUUGCCAGGAGCCCCUAGUGCCACCAGCAGCCAGCAGGGGAGGGCGUCCUCUGCCCGCUCACUUCUGACCCUUCUCUCGUUGCACCCGGAACAUGGUGCAGCUGGGAGCAGCCUGGGCUGCGCGGAAGGCUCAGAUUUGGGGACGGCCCUUGCCAGUGACUGUGAGCUGGGGUGUCUUGGAAACUCCCAGUCUCAGCUUCUCCAUUUAUAAGAUGAGAAUGAUCAUACCAGACUCAGGCAAGGUUGUUUGUGCAUUAGUGAAAUCAGACGUAUUAAAUAAAGUACCACAUUGAUCGUGGAGUUGUUGAAUAACCAAGAA